rnacentral:rRNA from 1 species
CACGUAGGGUGCGAGCGUUGUCCGGAAUUAUUGGGCGUAAAGAGCUCGUAGGCGGUGUGUCGCGUCGGCCGUGAAAACCUGCAGCUUAACUGUGGGCUUGCGGUCGAUACGGGCAUCACUGGAGUUCGGCAGGGGAGACUGGAAUUCCUGGUGUAGCGGUGAAAUGCGCAGAUAUCAGGAGGAACACCGGUGGCGAAGGCGGGUCUCUGGGCCGAUACUGACGCUGAGAAGCGAAAGCGUGGGGAGCAAACAGG